CCAAGAGUGGCAACUUAUGAGGCAUUGUACUUUAAGGAGGUGAUACCCCUCUCAUGCUGCCUUUGAUAUCAAUUCUUAGUAUUUUUGGAUUAUGAAUGAUGCAUACUUCUUAGAUAAUUACUGUUCAUCUUACUAUCUCGUGUAUCUCGUGAUCAAGAGAGGUAAUUUACCAUCUCGUGAUCAAGAGAGGUAUUCACGCAACUU